UAGUUUUAUAUGACAGAUAAAGAACUUUAACUUUUCAGGGGCUCUAUUUCCUUGUCACUUGUAUGUGGCGUGGGAAAAGUGCCCUCUCGUGAGAGAAGCCAAGCCGGAAGCAUCUGCACCAAUAAAACGUGUACGGGACACGUGCGACAGGUAGGUAUACUUUCCCAGACAUGGAAACAUUACUACCAGAGUCGAAACACACAUCACUAGACAGCAUAAAGCUUCGGCGUCCUACCACAUCACUGCGACGACAUGGACAUACAUGGAUAUGGCAAACAAGGUGACACGAACAGCAGCGACCGGAACGAACAACACAGGCAUCCUGUCUCCCCUACCUAUAACUACCCAGCACUGUAAGCGGCAUACAUGGCCGUGGGAGGCGGGGAACGACCACCGCUAUCAGAGCAAAGCUUGGCCCGAACCUUCGUGAUGUAGGCCUCUGCUCUCCCGUCGACGCCGUCCCCUUCGUCGCCCGGCUCCAUCAAGUAGUUCGCGCAGCGGCUCUCGGGCUCGACCAGCUUCAUGGCCCUCGCGGUGGGAGGCGGAAGCGGGGCGCCGGGCGCGAUCCUCGCGGGCGCCGCCCGGGUCGUCCCGAGCGCCAUCUUGGCGAGCGCCAGGACCGAGGCCUUGAACACGUUGCCGGCGAUGGCGGUCGAUCUCUCGCGCAUGGACGCAUGCUUGCGCCUGGCCAUGAGUAGUAAGUAGCUCACUCACUCGUCUGGUGUUUUUGGUUGGGGCUUCGGAGGGAUAUCUGCAGUGGAAGAGGAAUGCCCAAGGCUUAUAUAUCCGCCUCGUAGGAAUCAUUGAUGGGGAAUUGCGUUGCGUAUGCCCGCGCCCGAGUAAUAGUAACAUUCAAUGAUGAGCGUGGGGUGCGCCGUUAUCGGUUUCAACUUGUGCCGCAAGCCACAGAGAGAGCGCCCUCAAGGUGUUUGCUAUUAUGACUCCCAAUUUUUAGUCCUACCUUGUACGUGAGCCUAACUGCUCCAGUUCACAAAGUGGCUUCGGCAGGAGGGUCGCAGAUGGUGCCAUUGAUCAUGACGUGGGAAUCGGACAUGAUUGCAUAUCUCCUCGGUAUGUUCUUAUGGAUGAUCACGGAUCGGCUUUACUUUUGUGGCGUCCUCGGAGAAAAAGAGACGGCUCGAGACAAACAUCCGUAGAGAUGCUUCACGAGUGCAACGAGAGGGACCCAACUCAGGGUAUAAUGACACAUACAUACGAGCAGCAUACAAAAAGCUGAGAGGUGUUGGGUGCAGUAACCUCAGAUAUGGAAGGGGGGAAUGUCUCGUGUGGUGGUCGGAGACAACGACAUAAGGACUGCAGAUGAAGCAAAGAGGUGGAUUCGUCUGGUCGCUAUCAGCUUUGGAGCACGUCCGGAUCAAAGUGAGAGGUUCGUAUUCUUCGUCCGCUUGAUGUUUCUUUCUGUCUCUUCAUAGCAAAGGUAAAUAGGGUCCUGCACUAAUUUUACUUGAAUUUGAACUUGACUACUAAUCCAGUGACUUCUCAGAACUUAGAAUCAUUUAUUAUCAUGGUUUAUUUUCCUGUAGAAAUUUAGAGACAAAUUCCAUACCAGUAUUGUUAACACCAUACAUGAGAUUGUUGGACAAGUCUUAAGCAUAAUGAAUUAAGUUAUUUAGAUCACCUGAUAGAUUAAUCCUUGGAAACUUUUUUUGCACAAAAUACCACCAUGUCUUUCUUAUUGUUCUUCAGUACGAGGCAUGUCCCUGUGGCUUUGGUUAACAUACAUAUAUUUCACAACUGUGCUGCCUCGAGUCAUAAUCCACAACAUUAUUAUCUAUAGCUCCAUCAUAUCAAAACCAUGCACAUUUAAUUUGUACUAUUAAGUGAAAGGGCAUAUAUCCUGUUCACAUUUAUUUUUCCCACUAGCAUCUGUGUUAGAUAGUAUACCAAACUCCAUGCACCAUAAACACACUUGCACAAGCCUAAAGUGAGCAGCCUUCUUUGGUAAGCACAAAGACACUGCCAGCGUCGCCUCUUGAGAUUCUUAACUCCUCGUCGAGAUAGGUGGUUAGCAACCAGGAUUGAACAUUAGUGUUGUUUAUUGGUAUUUUUAGCGGCGGCUGUCCUGAGAUGGUCCGAGCCACAGAUGCUGC